rnacentral:rRNA from 1 species
ACGAACGCUGGCGGCGUGCUUAACACAUGCAAGUCGAACGGAAAGGCCCUGCUUGCAGGGUGCUCGAGUGGCGAACGGGUGAGUAACACGUGGGUGAUCUGCCCCUUACUUUGGGAUAAGCCUGGGAAACUGGGUCUAAUACUGGAUAGGACCAUGCUGUAGGUGGUGUGGUGGAAAGAUUAGUUUCGGUAAGGGGUGAGCUCGCGGCCUAUCAGCUUGUUGGUGGGGUAAUGGCCUACCAAGGCGUCGACGGGUAGCCGGCCUGAGAGGGUGGACGGCCACAUUGGGACUGAGAUACGGCCCAGACUCCUACGGGAGGCAGCAGUGGGGAAUAUUGCACAAUGGGCGCAAGCCUGAUGCAGCGACGCCGCGUAGGGGAUGACGGCCUUCGGGUUGUAAACUCCUUUCAGCCAUGACGAAGCCCUUGUGGUGACGGUAGUGGUAGAAGAAGCACCGGCUAACUACGUG